rnacentral:rRNA from 1 species
GAUGAACGCUGGCGGCGUGCCUAAUACAUGCAAGUCGAGCGAACAGACGAGGAGCUUGCUCCUCUGACGUUAGCGGCGGACGGGUGAGUAACACGUGGAUAACCUACCUAUAAGACUGGGAUAACUUCGGGAAACCGGAUCUAAUACCGGAUAACAUGUUGAACCGCAGGGUUCAACAGUGAAAGACGGUCUUGCUGUCACUUAUAGAUGGAUCCGCGUCGCAUUAGCUAGUUGGUAAGGUAACGGCCUACCAAGGCAACGAUGCGUAGCCGACCUGAGAGGGUGAUCGGCCACACUGGAACUGAGACACGGUCCAGACUCCUACGGGAGGCAGCAGUAGGGAAUCUUCCGCAAUGGGCGAAAGCCUGACGGAGCAACGCCGCGUGAGUGAAGAAGGUCUUCGGAUCGUAAAACUCUGUUAUUAGGGAAGAACAAAUGUGUAAGUAACUAUGCACGUCUUGACGGUACCUAAUCAGAAAGCCACGGCUAACUACGUG